GCAUCCCAAUAACUUUAUUUCCAAAAUAGGCUGCAGGCUGGAUUUGGCCCUGCCAACUCCUGCUCUAAAUCCUUAUUUUGAAAGGUGGGGAAAGAGGGAAUAAAUAUUCCAAGCAUGUAUCUUGAUAAUCACUACAGUCAAAGUUUCUUAUAAAUGUUGGCAAUAAGAAUUAUGAUGUACAUGCCAUUUUGGAAAUGUCUCCAAAUUUUUCUUCUCCAAGAACAAAAUGGAAACUAAGUGAGUUUUUCCCUGCUGUACCCUAUUAAUACUAAGGCACGAGGUUGUAGGGGAUAGCAGGACUAUGAGAAUUAGAAGUACUGACAAGUCAGGGAAGUGACACAAAAGAAGAAUGCAGGGAAAAGAGAGCAGAUGGAAGUGAGCAUGGCCUGCAGCAAGACGUGUCUGGCUCCUAAUCCUACAGCGGAUGGUGUGUUAGCAUUUCCACUGGAGAGCUCCUUCAGGUUGGUUCCUGUAGCCUUCAGACAUGUGCCAUCUUUUUGUGAGCACCUCCUUAUUUUCUGCCAUCACAAGAUAUUCCAGUUUCAUCUUGUAUUUUCCUGCCUUAGACCUGCAAUCAACCACUUUCUCAAGAAGCCUAAGUUCCUUUGACUGGAGAUACUACAACAAUUUGAAUUCUAUCAUAAUCUAUUUAAAAAUAGAAAUAACCUCUUCAGCAGUCAGAGAUAUUACUUUCUUUCAAUCUUGUAUUUCCAUUCCAAC
rnacentral:lncRNA from 1 species